ensembl:lncRNA
AUCUGGGUACGUGGAUGAUUUUCUAGGCAAGUACAUAUUACCAAAAUUGAUAUCAGAUGACAAGGAAAACUCAAACUGAACAAUUGCAAGGAAGAAGAUCCGUUAAAAAAAUUAUUAAGAUGUUGUCCCUUUGAAGAAGGUCAAGGCUCAUGGUGUUCAAAGCUCCACACACACACUUCUCUGAAACUGAGUGGAGAGAGCCUUCCAUUUUAUUUUUGCAAAGCUAUACUGAAACCAGAUUCUGAAAAAAAGGAAAUUUCACACUUAGCUUCCUAAACUGGAAGUAACCCAAGGAAGCCAGGCUGACUUGUGAUGAAAGAUGAUGAAGACAAAUCCUAAACAGGGCUUCCUGUUUGCUUAAACCUCCAACCCAAGAGAAAAUCGCUUCCAGUUUCCCUGGACAAUCAUGGAUGGAAAACACAUGAUCCCAACACAGAGGGAUAGUGUUCAGGAAUUAGAACACGCUUAGAGGUGUAAGAACUUUAAAGGUGAAGAAAGUCUGUUAAAGGGUUCAACUUCAUGAAACCAGGCUCACCAUUUCAGAUAUUCUCUAUCUUAAUGGUAUUUGAAUUCUCAGAUUUUGGCUCACUACAUUUUCGGGGAAUGAAGAAGUGCAGAGAAAAUGAAAUAAUUUUAAUAAGAAGCGCUACAAAAUUGUUAUGGGAGACAUUAUAAGAAGGUGAUCUCAUCUCUGGAAGAUGAAGAACUUUCAUGUGUCUCAGGUAUUUGGGACCAUAUCUGAAGACCAUCCCAGAGAUCUAGACGACCAGGACGUGAAAUACUAUCAGGGAUAGGAGAACUUCAUGUACACUUCUAGAUGUAGACCCUGUAUGACUUUGAGGGCAAGGGCCUAAGACUUAAAAUACCCAAAUUUACAAGUACACAGUCCCUAGAAGUCGUCAGCAUUCAGACAGUUCUCUAAGGAAAGAGUCCAUCAUGGCAUCAGCAAGGAGUCAGAUCCCUUUAAAAAAAUAUGCCAAACCAAAAAAAUCUUAAGUGAAUCUCGAUCCUGAGGGAAAAAUGAUAUGUACGCAGAAUUUUCCAAGGGAGAAACUCUGGUGGCUGAGUAAUUCCCUUUGAAAUAGCUAUGUGAGAGAUACUAAGAAACAGAAACCUCUCGGUUCUGAAAACUUUGCAAUUAUAAAGCACAGGACCUCAUUAGAAAUAUCCCGUGCGUAAGACUGCUGUAGAUAUUCAAUGUAUAGAAUUCCUAGACCUUAGAUAUCCAUAGAUACCAGAGAAUUCUUAUAUGAGGGAAAUCUUAUAAAUGUGAUAAGUAAAAGCCUGCAGUAAAGCUCAGAUACUGGAAAUCAUCCUAGUCGACCCGGGGAAGAAACCCUACAUCUGUGAUGGAUUGUGUUAAGAACUUCAAAAUGCAACGAUUCUUGUUUGCUAGUUAAAAAUUUCGUUGCUUUAUGACUUAGGGAAGGCUCUGAGAUGUUAAUCUGUCUGAAGAGAAGAUAGAUCCAUCAUGUGGAAUUGGUGGACAUGGAGGAGUUGUAGGUUGGCGGUGUCUACCGGAAAGAGUGCAGAGCGUGAGGAGGAUGGUUCCACUCAGAGAAUACCAUACUUAUGGAAAGAGAUGCUUGUUGCCACAAACAUGAAAACCAUAUAACUAACUUUAUUUUGGUUCUAUGGUCAUCUUCAGAUUAUAAUUUGACUUCUAUGCACUUGCUAAUUAAAAAAAGAAAAACUGCAGAAGACAUUGGUAGAUAGUCUUUUUUUUUGCAAUUUUACUUUUUACUGGAUGCUACUACAGUAAGGAGUGUAGAUCAUAUGGUUUCUUGAAUUAUAUUAGUCUGCGCUUACUUGAUGGGAUGAGCACUGGGUGUUAUUCUAUAUGUUGGCAAAUUGAACACCAAUAAAAAAUAAAUUUAUAAAAAUAAAAUAAGAUAA